rnacentral:rRNA from 1 species
AUACAGAGGGUGCGAGCGUUAAUCGGAAUUACUGGGCGUAAAGCGCGCGUAGGCGGCUUGGUCAGUCGGAUGUGAAAGCCCUGGGCUCAACCUGGGAAUUGCAUUCGGUACUGCCAAGCUAGAGUAUGGGAGAGGGAAGUGGAAUUUCCGGUGUAGCGGUGAAAUGCGUAGAUAUCGGAAAGAACACCAGUGGCGAAGGCGACUUCCUGGCCCAAUACUGAUGCUGAGGUGCGAAAGCGUGGGGAGCGAACAGGAUUAGAAACCCUAGUAGUCC